rnacentral:rRNA from 1 species
AUUGAACGCUGGCGGCAGGCCUAACACAUGCAAGUCGAACGGUAACAGGAAGAAGCUUGCUUCUUUGCUGACGAGUGGCGGACGGGUGAGUAAUGUCUGGGAAACUGCCUGAUGGAGGGGGAUAACUACUGGAAACGGUAGCUAAUACCGCAUAAUGUCGCAAGACCAAAGAGGGGGACCUUCGGGCCUCUUGCCAUCGGAUGUGCCCAGAUGGGAUUAGCUAGUAGGUGGGGUAACGGCUCACCUAGGCGACGAUCCCUAGCUGGUCUGAGAGGAUGACAAGCCACACUGGAACUGAGACACGGUCCAGACUCCUACGGGAGGCAGCAGUGGGGAAUAUUGCACAAUGGGCGCAAGCCUGAUGCAGCUAUGCCGCGUGUAUGAAGAAGGCCUUCGGGUUGUAAAGUACUUUCAGCGGGGAGGAAGGGAGUAAAGUUAAUACCUUUGCUCAUUGACGUUACCCGCAGAAGAAGCACCGGCUAACUCCGUG